ACCCCCGCCUCCUCGUGCACGAACCACCUCAUCUUUGAAUAAUUAUAACAACUCCUUGAGCAAUUAACCAUCGACGAACCAACCGACCGCUCAACUCCUAAUUAUCCAAUUAGCCGUUGAAUUAGUCAGUAAAUUAGUUAAUUAGCUUGCUAAAUAGGCAAAUAGCCGAUGAGCUACUAGGAUACUUAUCCCUAAUUAACCGUUCAAUUGACUAAUCAACCUGCUUAAGAACUUGUCCCGAAUAAUUGCUGUUGUUUCCAUCUCGUCCUCACGACGUACAUCCUCCUCCUUCCGUCACAGGCUCGCUUCCCUGAUAGAGAUACGUAGCAAGCAUAGUCGACGGUAGUCAAGUCUCGUGUUCUUCGAAACGCCGGUCGGCGUAGCCUCCGGUUCUCCACGCUCGUCGUGGUCAUGCGCACCGCCGUCGCAAGUCGGCAUGAUUAAGAGGAGCCACGAACAGGCACUGCAUGUGUUUUGCUCAGCCGGCGUAUGUGUGUAUUUGGAUUUUAAAACUAGUGUACGGUGUACUCCCCAUUUAUCCAGAAAAAUCCACAGUAAAUUGUAGAAAUUCCGAAUUUUACCUGCCUUCACAGCACUUCCCGUAUUUUAAAUCCGCGUCACAAUAUAUCCCUUCUUUUUCAAAAGGUCACAGUUUAUCCC
rnacentral:rRNA from 1 species